CUCCCUCCCUCCAUCCCCCAUCUCCCUUCUCCACUCUCUGUGCUCGCUGGUUGCCAAGUGCUAAGAAUCCGGGGAAUGUGGGAUUGCAGUAUUCUGAUAAAGUUUGCUUUGUUCCCUCAGUGACCUGAGCUCAGGGAGGAAGGCUGGGAGUUUCAGCCAGAGCAGUGCACUGGUUCACAAACACACAUUAUAUGAUUAGACAUACAGAUAAACCUCCGGUUUCCAGACAUACAUGCACCUGACCAAGCUACAGAUGAUAUCAAAGCCGAACAGAAGGUACAGUGACAUAAGACCGAGAGUUCCAGACACUGAGACGGAGUCACUGUGGGUUCAUAUGCUGGAGCAGGAUUAGGGACUGAAGCGCACUGGAAUAGAGGGGGAGGGCUGCAGAAUGUUGGACUGCAUUCCUCACCUUAUCUUUUCACUGCGUUCACAUGUGAUUACAUGCACACACAUGUUGUAGACAAGCUCACACACACUGACUUAUGGAAAAAGUCUGAAGAAAGCUACACAAAGGACAAACUUUUAUCCUCGUACAUGAGGGAUAACUAACUAGAUUCAACAAGACAAUAUUUAUUGAAGCGAGAGACUGGAGCCAGAACAUAAUUAUAAUGUACUUAACAAAAAUAUCAACGUAAAUUGUUGGUUCCAUGUGUCGUGUUUUUCUCCGAUCAUGUAACAUCCAUAGAUUAGGGCCUAAUUUACUUUAUUUCAGUUGAGUGAUUUGCGCUGGAUAAAAUGUUGAGGUUUUAGCAGUUGUGUAUUUUGUUUUAAUGAGUACGUGCACACUCCAAAUUGAACACAACUCAACCUAAAGAGAUUGUUUGUAAAUAACAAUUUCCUAUGUUGAUUUCAUUUUACACAGGUCACAUAAUGUCGUCUUAUUUCAGUUCUGGAAUGAAUUGGGAACAGAUUUACUAAAUGUCUAGCAAUAUGAUAUUAGCUACCCAGAUCUGAAUAAUGACCACCCCCCCCCCCCCCCCCCCCCCCCCCCGAAAUCCGUAUGGAGGUGGUUAAUUGGACUCUGCUCCACAGGACCACAUUAAUAUUUUUUCGACACAAACUUUGAGGACCCAAAAAAAUCACUUGCCGCCCAGUUUUUGCCCUGAAGGCUGCUUUUCGCCAAACCCCGCCCUACACAGGAACACAGCGAUGUCGCAGAGGUCAGGGUGAGGGUUAAGGCGGUGUAUGGUAAACACACAGAUUGUGAUUGCCUGCUAGGGGGAGAAAGAGGGAGGAAGAGGAUGACAACGGCAGAGGCAGGAAGUUAGAGUUCGGUUGGGGGACCGGGUGGAAAGGCCACUGGGAGGGCCUAUAAUGCAGACACACUGCUCUCAGUGUGUGUGUGUGUGUGUGUGUGUGGGAGGGAGUGUGUGUGAUGGCUAAACAGAAGCUGUGUGUAGUGUUUGCAUGGUAAAUAUGACGCCAGUACUUUUUGUGUGGGAGCUACCAUGGUGGAAUGUCACAUGCUGACAGAAUGCUUACAGAACAACAAAGAAAAGCCAGAGAAAACAGAAUGGACAGCCGGCAGUAACCCUGUAGGUACUGGAGACCAGUCAGUAACCCUGUAGGUACUGGAGACCAGUCAGUAACCCUGUAGGUACUGGAGACCAGUCAGUAACCCUGUAGGUACUGGAGACCAGUCAGUAACCCUGUAGGUACUGGAGACCAGUCAGUAACCCUGUAGGUACUGUCGACCAGUCAGUAACCCUGUAGGUACUGUCGACCAGUCAGUAACCCUGUAGGUACUGGGGACCAGGCAGUAACCCUGUAUGUACAACAGACCAGUCAGUAAAACUACGCACUGGGGACGAGGCAGUAACCCUAGAUGUACUAAAGACCAGGUAGUAACCCUGUAAGUACUAAAGACCAGGCAAUAAGCCUGUGCAUACUGUAGACUGUAGCUAUAGAGCCAAUUUGGUUGGAGAUUUGGGGUUUGGAUGAUGUUCACACCAAUUGGCCAAAUACAUUGAAUUUGUUUGGAUAGCGAAUGAAUUGUAGCAAUAAGGCUAUGCUGUAUGUUACACACAGUGUAAUGCCCAUGUGGUGGUUUUAACAGGGUCCAGAUAUAUCAUCUGUAGAACAGCUGGCAGUAGGGGCUACUGUAAACAUCCUUGACUGAAAGCUGGUGUUUCAAAGAGGGCUUUCAGUCGGAUGUUUGCAGCAGCCAACUGCUAUUAUCAUCACAACUACUAUACAGACAUUUCUCUCCUUAACGACAACUUUUCCAGCCAUCACUAGUAGACUGAAAUAGAAUCAACUGUGUUUGCCAUAAAUACAUAGAUGCUUACUAUUGCCUGUUGUCAUAGAGAGCCAAGUGCUAGCUUAAGCAAAAAGCCAAAGUCCUGCGAGGGUCACAUUCCUGCUGAUUGUCACGCCUGACUUGGGAAACCCUGUAGCUUGGUCCCCAGCCAAUCGUAACCAUGAUCAAUGAAAUUCAAUGUUUGGAGCAGCACACCCUGGUUCAGCACUCUGGACAGCUCUCAGGAUGACAUGCCAGCCCAGGGGAAACAAACCCACAGGGACUUCAUAUAUAGCCUCAAUUCUCACAGGGCAGUUUCUUAGAUCAGCACCAUCUCUGAUGACUGUGCCCGGAAGACUUAAGGAAAAGACAGUGGGAGAAAUGACAGGGCUAGAGAGGAGAGGAAAUGCCUGUGAGGCUGGUUGGGAGGGGUUUCAUCCUCAGGAGAGAAGUGGAAAAGGAGAUGAGGGAGGUUUGGAGCUCGGCCAGGACAGAGGACUCUGGACCGUGGGAUUUGUCUGCCAUCUUGUUUCCUUCAUUAGCUUCCUUGUCCAGGUCUACUGUUCUUUUACACCAGUGAUCUCAGAACAUGACAAGCCAAACCAACACAAUGAAAACCAGUCUUUUUAUAUACUUGGUUCUUGAAGGAAAAUCAUUUAGGAGUUCUGAGUCAGACCUGAAAGUUUUGUCCAAUUGAUUUGUCAGUAAGCACGAGUUCUAACUUCCGGCCAACCUAUGACCUCUCUGGGCUUCAGGCAGUGUAAACAUCCUACACUCUCAGCAGCGCCCUCUAGCAGCCGGGAGUGGGAUGUUUGCGUUGCCUGUCUCGGGAAUGCUCACAGAAUACUCCGGAAUACUGCUGAGUGCCUUCUGAAUGCCGGACGAGCCAGUGCAGGAAACGGGAGGGGCCGCCAUCUGAUUGGCUGUCUGGCUUGUUGACCCGGCCACGUCGGCCCCGGUGGGACACCGGACCACCCAUAUCACAACGAAAAGCUCAACAGGAAAUGCACACAAUACAUACUGUACAUACCUGAACACACUGAAACAUCUAGACAUUAACAAACCGGCGUUUUGCGGAGAAACAGACCAUGCCAGAAAAGGACGUGAUGAAGGAAUAAAGGCUGGGCUCUGUUCGGGUGUGCGGUAGGCUGAUCCCCAAGCCCAAUCUCCUCUCCGUUACGGGUGGACUGGCUGUGAUGUCAUGUUCUAUGUUAUAUGUCUGCUGAUUUAAUGGCCCGUCUCUGGAUUGACUGGAGCCUAUGCUAUGUUAAGUGGCUGUGAGAGGCACAGCGCACAAAGGAAGUACAAACUCAAACCAUUGUGUGAUUAGAGCAGGGUUCGUAUAUGUGUAUAGUGUGUGUGUGUGUGUCUCCUUAAAAGCUCUGUUCCUUGGUCUGUGGCAACCAGACCCACCCAGACUGAAGUGAUGUCGCAACAACAUGGAGCCCAAGAGGAAGUAGCUAUAAAUACCUUUAUACACCCCCACCAAACACACAGACACACAGCACUGGCCUAGUCUCCCUUCCUAUGGUGAGCUGCACUGCCCUUUUCUACAGUGAUUACUUUGUUUUGAUUUCUCAUGCAGAUAUCACAAAACAUUGAAUCUGCCCUACUGCUCUUUCAGCAAAAAUAAAUAUUUUUGCCAUUUUUCUGUCUGAAAAAAAGCAUAAUUCCUUUAAGAUUAUAGACUGUAUGAUGAAUAAUGUAAAUGAAGGUCUUCAUGUAUUCGUGGUAUGUUAGUUAACACGAGUUUGAAUGGGUUACUAGGUGUCUUAAUGGUAUAUUUAAGCAAUAUGGCGGACAGUGUGGUAUGUGACCUUUGCAUCAUUUGUACCUGCUUUGUCCUUGUAUAAGUGGAGAAUAAACUUUGAUUAAACUGCUUCAACAUUAUUGCUUGCUUUUUGGGAUACAAGACCGGGUAUUUGUUUAAAUACUUUGUGACCACUGCAUGUAAUAAUGGCUUGGUAAAAUAGAUGUAGUUAGACUCAUAGUGGAUUAUAAUGCUUUUCACCACCAGAGGGCAGGCUAGUCAUGCAGAUCACACCCGGAAGUACCUCAGAAUUACAGCAUUACGUCAGAGAUGGAUCUAAGAGCCAUAUGGCCUACUGGGUGUGUACAUCUAAGGCAUCAGGCAAUGAUUUCCACUCCCCGUGGAGAGUUGAAGCCUGGGAGGUGGAAUCCUGUGUGGUGAUACGGAACCAGGAUGACAUUCUGCUGACAUAUUCAUUAGUUAAACAUUAUAUUUAACCGGGUGAGUCAACUGAAAACCUAUUCUUAUUUUCAAUGACGACCUGGCCAAAGGUAUUCUGUGAAACCCUUAUCUAAUUAAAAUGAAUAAAGCAAUUUCAGGGCACAGAAAAAUAAGUGCACUUAUUUGGCUUUGACUAGGCCAUUACACAACCCUUCAUUUCUUCUUUUGAGUCAUUCUGUUCUAGUUUUACUUGUGUGUUUUGGAUCAUUCGUCUUUUGCAGAUCAAUGUUUGUUUCAGCUUUUUCAUAGAUGUCCUUCCAUUCUCAAGAAUUAUUUGGUACAAUAUGGAAU
ensembl:lncRNA